UUGCUUUCAGAAAAGUAGACCCAGUAACCACACCCCUUGACAAAGAUGAAGGAGAUCAUUUGAUCUUUCUUAACAUGUGUAUUGCUCUCUAUCUACUUCAGAGCAAUCUAUUUUA
rfam:Octopus bimaculoides Scaffold94093_contig_5, whole genome shotgun sequence.